rnacentral:ncRNA from 2 species
GGCUUAUCAAGAGCGACGGAGGGAACUGGCCCGACGAAGUCCGGCAACCUUUUAAGUAAGGUGCCAAUUCCAGCCGGGGCCACCCCCGGGAGAUGAGCA